rnacentral:misc_RNA from 1 species
UAUCAACGUGCUGCGCGCCCCGCGUGAUUUCUUCGUCGCCACCGUCGCUUUUUUUUUCGCCGUUUCACAAGUUGUGUCGAUCCCUCCCGCAAUCCUUCUCUCAUUGGAAGCGUCUGGAAAGGGUCAGGCGUGAAAGGCUUACACCUGAAUCACUGCAAGUUGCCGCUCUCCCUAAAUUUCCUCGGAAGCCAUCAUGGACGAGGAUCGACUCAUCAUGUUCGAUAGCAACGGCGCUAUUCGCAUGUACGACCCUGAAAAGUAUGACGAACUUGUGAAGACAGUCGAGGUGGAGCGGCGCUACGUGGAGAAGAUGGAUGAGUUCCGCGCUCUCGUGCAGCGCACAAUGGCCAUUGUCCAGCGCCUCGGCGAAGCGAUCGAGGCUGAGAAACUAAAAGCGAUUGGAUUCCGAAACAUCGUCGAAAGCGAGUCUGAGGAGCGUUUCCGCGCCGUCCAGGAGGCCCAGAUACGGCUGCGUGAGAAGCAGAUGGAGCUAGAUCGCUACGUCGCGGAGUACGAGUCUCUGAAGCUCGUAGAGCAGGAACAGCAGACGUUCUUCCAGCAUCUUAGCCAGGCCAAGGAUUAAAGCGCAGCAAUUCAGCAGCAGCGUGUGGCUCACAAGACGAAUCUGCUUUUGAGAAUGGUGAGCCGCUACAGUGCUGCCCAACGAACGGAGAGAGUAGACGAGGAAAACGAAAUGUCUCGCACGGCACGUGAGACGGAAGCCGUUCAGCCGUACACGCGUUUCACGCGUGCGGGAUUGUGCACGUGGGCCCUUCGCCUCUCUUCCUUGGCGUGGAUGCUUUGCUAGCUCUGCGUCGUAUAGACCUUUGUGCUGGUGUGCUGGUGGUACAUGCUGGCGCGUGAGCGUGAGCGAGUGUUGGCGGUUUCUUGUGUUGCCUUGCAGCUACGAUGUAUGUAAACUACGUCUCAAUAAAGCACGCCCACCGCCGGUUGCUGUAACCUCCGUUUUCCUACUGAUCUCGCUCUCUCUGCGUAUAUAGCCUUCUGCUGCACUUCUUUGUUCAUGUGUUCAACUCUGCCCUCGAGUAUCUGUGGCCGCGAUAGACCGCGCAUGCGCACGGGAGUAGCACCAACUGAGGGAGACCAGCGGCGAGGCGUGUGGAGGCAGGGCUCUAGGGAGUUGUUUGGCCUGUCAUUGUGAAAUAGCGCCUCGCGCCCCUUGAGGCGAAUGCCUUCAAUUAAGCCUAUCAUCCAGCCUGAUCGGUACGAAUAUAG